AGGCUCCAGGGGCGGUAUACACAAAAGUUCUUAGCAUCGCUAAGUGCACUUAACGGCAAAGAAUCGUUAAGUUUUCUACUUAAAAUGGCGCUGGGCCGCUUAGCGCUGAAGCUGGAGCACUUAGCGGGCGGAAAAUUUAAGGCGGGGAAGGGGCUCCCUUAGCACCGUUAAAAAUGCAUAAGUAUUGCAACAUGGUGGAUUACAGCGGGAUGAAAGGCAUCACCUCCUAAUAUAUCUGCCUCGUCUAGACGAAUUGGAGGCGUGUAAUGAUUUGAAACUCAUCCUGAAAUAUCUGUGGACUGUGCUGACCGUGCUGAGAUGAGUGGUUCGGCGAGGCGGACCUUGGAAACACCUACAUGGCCAUCACGACUGAAGUGGUGUUCGCUGACAGGUAAAAUGCAGGUGCAACCUUCACAGGCUGACAGAGAUUGAGUGAUAACAGACACUGGAGACCCUCCAGGCGAUGGCUGGUGACCGCCUGCCACCAUCCACAGGCUGUUACACAAGGAGCCCUGGGAGUAACCUUGCUGGAAGCCCCGCGGGCCGCGGUGUGUGGCUGGCGUUAUACAGCCCCCAGCCAUCGCCUGGAGGGCAUCCAGUGUCUGUUAUCACUCACCUUAGGUAGUCUGUGAAGGUCCAGUCAUCACUGGCGCACGUGUAUCUUACCUGUGAUCAACACCGGCAGCCACAGACUCCUGCCCAAGGAACGAACACAGUGAUCGUGAUGACAUUGACAACAACGAGCAAGUCCUCCUAGACCUAGAGUGACCUCAAGCUGGGCCAAACAUGAUGUGGAAGAAGAAAUCAGUUGUCUCCAUCAGUCGGGUUUGUGCCAUGGCAGCUUUCUCCAGCUGUCCGGCAGAGGUCCAGUCCAUGCCAUGGAGAAAUUCAGCCCCCAACAAUGAGAUGGCAUGCCAGAGAUGGAUCCGCAGCUUCUCCUCCAAUCAGUCAAUCCUUGCACUGCCCUUUCUCUUUUCUCUUCUUCUGUACACCAUGCUUACAUAACUGAUCCAAGGUACUUAAACUCGUUAACCUCCUCCAUUUCUUCACCAUUCAAAAUUAUUUGGCAUUCUUUUUCACAUUCAAUGCCCACUCUAUAUGGGCAUACAAACUCUACAACCUCCCUUCUACUCCGCUCACAAACCAUCACUUUACUUUUGUUGACAUUUACUUUCAACUUUCUCCUUUUACAUACACUAUCAAAAAAACUGACCAAAUUUUGU